UAAACGAUGUCGACUUGGAGGUUGUGCCCUUGAGGCGUGGCUUCCGGAGCUAACGCGUUAAGUCGACCGCCUGGGGAGUACGGCCGCAAGGUUAAAACUCAAAUGAAUUGACGGGGGCCCGCACAAGCGGUGGAGCAUGUGGUUUAAUUCGAUGCAACGCGAAGAACCUUACCUACUCUUGACAUCCAGAGAACUUAGCAGAGAUGCUUUGGUGCCUUCGGGAACUCUGAGACAGGUGCUGCAUGGCUGUCGUCAGCUCGUGUUGUGAAAUGUUGGGUUAAGUCCCGCAACGAGCGCAACCCUUAUCCUUUGUUGCCAGCGAUUCGGUCGGGAACUCAAAGGAGACUGCCAGUGAUAAACUGGAGGAAGGUGGGGAUGACGUCAAGUCAUCAUGGCCCUUACGAGUAGGGCUACACACGUGCUACAAUGGCAUAUACAAAGAGAAGCGACCUCGCGAGAGCAAGCGGACCUCAUAAAGUAUGUCGUAGUCCGGAUUGGAGUCUGCAACUCGACUCCAUGAAGUCGGAAUCGCUAGUAAUCGUGGAUCAGAAUGCCACGGUGAAUACGUUCCCGGGCCUUGUACACACCGCCCGUCACACCAUGGGAGUGGGUUGCAAAAGAAGUAGGUAGCUUAACCUUCGGGAGGGCGCUUACCACUUUGUGAUUCAUGACUGGGGUGAAGUCGUAACAAGGUAACCGUAGGGGAACCUGCGGUUG
rnacentral:rRNA from 1 species